rnacentral:rRNA from 1 species
UACGUAGGGGGCAAGCGUUGUCCGGAAUCAUUGGGCGUAAAGCGCGUGUAGGCGGCCCGGUAAGUCCGCUGUGAAAGUCGGGGGCUCAACCCUCGGAUGCCGGUGGAUACUGUCGGGCUUGAGUACGGAAGAGGCGAGUGGAAUUCCUGGUGUAGCGGUGAAAUGCGCAGAGUAUCAAGGAGGAACACCAAUUGCGAAGGCAGCUCGCUGGGACGUUACUGACGCUGAGACGCGAAAGCGUGGGGAGCAAACAGG